UAGGGGUUGGAGACUUAUGUAAAGGAGUUUCUCCAAUAAAUGAGUCAUAUCACUAAAUUUAUUUAUCCAAUUCAUAGCUUUCAAUUGCUAUGCUUUUGGAUUUUCAUUUACCAAGUCAUGUGCCUCUUUACUUGCUGAACCAUCAAGUUUUAAAGCAUAUAACACACAUGCUUAAAUAUGAAGGCUUGGACAAUUAAAAAGGCAUGAGUUUGCCCACUUUGGAUACUUUUAUAUAUUAUAUUAGACAUUAAUUUUCGAUGUCUAACAUACAUACAUACAUACAUACAUAUAUAUAUAUAUAUAUAUAUAUACAUC
rnacentral:lncRNA from 1 species